UCAGUCGGUCGGGUAGCCGCGCUUGUCCAGUGCCGAAAGGCGGCAGGUGAGGAAAGUCCGGGCUCCAGGGAAAUACGGUGCCGGGUAACGCCCGGCGGGGGCGACCCCAGGGAAAGUGCCACAGAAAACAAACCGCCCCGUCUUCCGUAUUCUUGCGAUGCGCAUAUCUGCAAUGCAUCGAACAAGGACAGGGAUGACGGGGUAAGGGUGAAAAGGUGGGGUAAGAGCCCACCGCGCCGGUGGUAACAUUGGCGGCACGGUAAACCCCACCGGGAGCAAGACCGAAUAGGGACGGCGCGUUAGUCCGAAAGGGCUGACAAUCGAUUUCCAGAUCAGCCGUCCGGGUGGGUUGCAAGAGGCGGGUGGCGACAUCCGUCCCAGAUGAAUGGCUACCACGUCGGAUGGAAAUCCGGCCAUACAGAACCCGGCUUACAGACCGGCUGACAUU
rnacentral:RNase_P_RNA from 1 species